ACAAACCCUGGACUGCGGUGAUAGGAGACUCUGGUAAAAAGAAAAACAUUUGAAGAAUGAGGGAGGGAAUUUAUUUUUUUAUUAUUGUUUUUACUGCUGUUUCAUCACACUGAGUCAGCACUUCUGGAGCCCUCACUUUGCACAAGAGGGAAGAGAGAAAAAAAAAAAGAGAGAGAACUUGCUUUGGGUUUUGCAGAGCAAAUCCUGAGGCCCCAGCUGCAGGGCUGGGAACAUCAAGCAGCACAGCUUGAAGGCAGCAGCUCACGGGGCCUGGGGCAUCUGAAGCACGGCUCAGCCCUCACUGAGGCUCAGAACUGAAGAGCAGCUAUGGAAAGCUACCUUUAAGGAAAACGUUACCAUAAAGCUCCCAGAUGCUCAUCGCUGCAGUUUUAAAACGUCUUUCAGAUUUUCAUGUUGAUCCUAGGAAAUCAAAAGCAAGCUGAGCUCACAGCUCAAUCGCAUGGGAAGCUCAGAAUGCCCAGAAUUAGUCACAACACUCGCAUCUACUAAAGAGCAGGGGUUUCUAUCAAGUGUUUGUCAGUAAGGGAUUGAAGAACACAAGAGAGCACUAAGCCAACAAGGGAGAGGAGCAAUUUCAGGCUUCCAGGUCAACCCACACUCCCUCAGCCCAGCAGCUGUCAGUACCCACAGCCUCCUGCUGGAGGACAAGCAGCCCCCAAGUAGCAGUACUUUGGUUAAACCUGCUUUGUCCCAGCUCCAAAGACACCCACUCACCUGGUUCACAGAGAAACUAAGAGGACCAGGUUUGAAAGCACAAGGGAAAAAAAAAAAAAGAAUCAGGUAGGGAAGGCCUGAACUCCAAAAGGCUAAGGAAGAGGUAGGUUCUUGUUUUAUAAGACAUUUGGCACAGAAAACUGAGGACAAAGAGAGAAGAAGCAGAUGAUGAAAUUUGAAGGUUCAUUACUAACAACUCAGAGCGUGCCUGCACACAGCUUGCUCCCACCGAGCACAGGAGCUCGUGGCAUGGCCGUGACCAUGCUCAUCCAGUGCAGGAUUUGCUGGUGCUGCUUCCCCCUCCGCCCUGCUGGAGCAGACCUCGGCAGCAAUUACAUUCUAACACUGCCACAGCUAAACCAAGCGUCCAUCACUAAGCUCUGUUUGACGUCAUGAGCUCAGGGAAAGACCAACAGAUUGAACAAAACCACUUCACUGCAGUUUGUUCCCAACAUAUUAAUGCUGGGAGUUUUCCAUAAAUGGAUAAGCAUACCAUGCAGUUUUUGUAACGGUACAUUUAUGAUUUCACCAUACAUCAUUUAGUAUUUCUUUGUGAAAUCAAGCAAGCAAAGAUCACGUCUGUCAGGAAAUUAAGUUUUGCUUAAUAAAUAAUACUGAAGUCGACAUGAGAUCUCUUACCAAUAUUGUAACUUGAGUCAUCUGCUCAGCUGUAGGUGACGGAGAGGAAUACAGCCCUGCAAACUGUCACAAAACAGUUUGGUGCAUCAGUAAAGUAUUAAAGUCAUCACACUGCUGCCAAUUAAAAUAAUGUGUUUUCAUUCAUAAUUAAAGAGGAGGCAUCAGCAAGGUGGGGGGAAAAAAAAAUGAGAAGACAGUGACUGCAAACAAAGCAAUGCAUGAAAAGUAAAGCUCUCCCACAACCUCUUUCAAUUAAACUAAUGAAGGAAUAAAAGGAAAAGUCAAGCUCCAGCUCCUCUAGACCCACAGUAACAUCACUGUAGAUGAGAAGGAAAGCAGCAAGGUGCUGAGCAGCAGCUCCUCCUGACCCCCACUACAGGGGCACACCAAGCAGGCCCCAGCACAGCACUCCAGGGGAGCAACCAUCAUUCUGUCUCACAGAGAAGCUGUGAUUAUCUGAAUGCUGAUCCCCAUGGUUAAAUUCUAAUGCAGCUACAACAUCUUCACACAUACACACGGGUACAUUCGCCCUUCUGUAUGUGUAUACAAAUACACACACAGCCUUGACCAAACAGGACGGUUAUCAGUAGCUCUUGGAGCCCUUGCCUGCAGGGACACAAAGCAGGCCGGGUUUACCCAGCUGCUACAUCUGAAUGCAAACCACUGCAGCAGAACUCAGAACGCUGACACUUGGCUGCUGCUUUAAGAUCUGCUGCUGUGGCUCUCAGCAAUACCUGCGUCAGAAACCACAAAGGAGCACAGGGAUCCAAGCUGAGGAGUAAAUUUAAUGAUGUAAGUAUACGAAUAGAAGUUUGAAACCCAAUCAGUGGAAGUAUCAGAGGUACAGGUAUCUUCCCUGGUAAUUACAAAUGAUCAUUUAUGCAUAAUGACAUAAAACGAAGAGGCCACGUUGAGCUGUAGCACAGGACAUAACAUGGAAGGUUCUCCUUCAGCCAGCUCAGAGAGACCAAAAAAAAAUCAGAGGCUAUUCACUCUUACCUUUGAACAUGGACCUCAAACCAGCCAAAUCGCAGCUUUACCAUUCCAGUGAAGCCACAGUCAACACCAAUUUGUAAUGCAACACCCCCAGGGAUUCCUCCGUCACCUCACUCUCAGUGAGAUUCAGCAGUACUCUCUAUGGAUAUAAUAAAUCCACUUUGAAACACAUCAGUACCUCAACACAGUGUUGAACAGAUGACUUGUGCUUGCCAAACUGCUAUUAUUCACCGCAGAUGAAAAAACAUCCAAUGCUAACUUAAUCUGAGCCCCAAAUAGGUUUCCAGAAGCAGCACCGUGCAUGAACUUAAUACUCAGAAUUUUGUUUCAUCAGCUCACGUUAAAGAUGAUAGGCACAGGGUGAGGAAAUGCAACACUGGGGCCAGCAGCAGGAUGCUGCAAUGCAACAUUACAACACAGAUCUCUGGACAGUUAUGCAUGUGACAGUAGAAAUGGAGAACGCAUACACCCCCCCAGGAGGAACAGAAGGAUCCCGUAUUGCAGCUCAGGCAUUUUACUCAAUACUACUGAAAUUUGGGCACCUGUUUUCUUGAGCAGCACUCACUCCCAGCACAGCGGUGCUCAGUGGGGCAGCCCCCAGCAGCACUUCCCACUCACCCUGAGCAGGAUGGUGCAGGACCCAGCACUCAUAGCCCUUCUUCAGGGCACAAGCACCCACGACCAAAAUGCUUGGAAAAAAAAAAAAUCAAGGCAUCAUUAAUGUGCACCAUACUGAACACUAAACGCCGUCAGCUCCAAGUUCUGCGCAGCCAGACUGGCAGGAUUUGAGAGAAGCAAGCGGGGAAGUUUUCAGCUUUUUGUAAGAAUGCUGUUGUGCUGACACCGGUCACACAGCACUGCCCAAACUGCUUGCUGUAGGUCUGCUGCACAGCAUCAGCCCCUUUUAGGCAACGUGCACAGAGAAAACUAAAACCACUUGUGAACACCACCCACAAGCGGGUCCUUCGCCUCUGUAUGAGGACGGCCCAGCGGUAAGAAGGACUGCUGUGUCCUUCCUUCAGACACACGGAGCCCUGACUCAAAGACUAGAUGUAGCUUCUAAAAAUUCAGAGCGCAACAAGUCAGAAAUGUGAGCACAGUCUCCUCUUUCUUGGGCAAUGCUUGCAGCAUAAUGCUGUCUCUUGUCUGAAGGAAAAAAGUGGCAGAGGGACAGCCAGGUUCCACCAGUGAGUGAGGUUUACAGGGCAGGCAGGGUUACAUACUCACACUAUUGCUUCUGUCUUGGAAGUCAUAAUUUAAAAGACAGCAGUGAUAUGAAAACAGAGCUCGUCCUAAGCUUAAAGCUUUAAUUUGCAUGCUUACGUGGGCUUUCCUGCAUUUGUUUUGUUAUUAAGGCUAGAAAAAAAUACAAUUAAAAACGCUAUUGAAAUGUUUCUUUAGGGAGAUGGUACACGAUGCCAUAAAUUCACAUGACACCGCAGCACAGGGAAAUCUCACAGAGAAGAAGGUUCUGGUAACAGGCGGUGACAAGACAGUGUUCUUCCAAAAUGCUGGUAUAGUUGGAUGAGACAAAGAUUUAAAAUAAUAAUUACUGACCUAUGGCUCGCAGACAAAAUAACUAUUGGCCAAGAAUUUGAUACCACAGAUUUAUAAUACGAAGACAAUGCCGAAGUGUGAGAAAUUAGCUGUUCAAACAUUCCCACCUUGGGAAAUGCUUCUUGCUGUUACUCUUUCCUAAUAAGCCCCCUGCACCUUACAGUGGCUCACAGUCCAGACUCUGAGCUCAUACCCAAGUCUCAACUACAUGGCAGAGAUCUUGCUUGCAAGAUGGAUCCUGGGAACUGCUAAGAAAUGCAGUCCAGGUUCCAGAGCACAGCUGAACAACUGUGUACAGGUCACUGUCAUGCUAAAGGACAGGCAUGCUGCAUCCCACCCUCAGCUCGCUCUGUCACGUUUUCUCAUUUCCUCCUUUACAGCAGCAGUGUCAAUGACCCAGUUUACUUCAGUUAGUGGGCAGAAAACCCAUCCACCAGGACAGGAGGGGCCUUAUGCUCUGCUCCCAGCAAACCUGGGCUGCCAACACAGCUGCAGAGUGCAGGGGAGAGGACCAAUUCCUGCAGAAGUGCCAGGCAGUCCCACCAGCUCAGCAUCCCCACAAAGCCUCCUACAGCCACCCUGUGGGUCACGUGUAACAUCAUCUACAGAAGAGUUUGCUGAAGGAAGCAUUACCAACACAAAUGGAAGCAGUAAGUUUAUUGACAGGAGGUCAGAAGCCUAACACAGGACUGCCAGCUUCCUUCCUACUUCAGAGGGAGUUUCUGUUCCUGUUUCCCACUUGCAACAAGCUGGAAAGCCCACUUCUACUUUGCCAAAUCAAGGCAGCCUAUCACUAGACUAAAUAACAAUACACAGAAUCCUGAAAGUGUAAAGCAAAUCAGAUUUCAGCAGUAUAUCACCCCCAGAUAACCCACAAUGUCUAACGGCCACAGACACGAACAGCCCUUUGUGACAGAAGCAUAAAAGUCCUCCCAGUGUCAAUGUCCAGCAGCAGAAGCUAUUCCAAGACCUCAUAACUCGGAACACACGGUGAAGGCAGACCUUGCUCUCCAGCUCCUGUAAAUGCAAACUGUCCAGGUGAAAACUAUUAUGGCAGCUCUGGAACUCUCUCUGAAGGAAUUCCGAUCUGGACAAAAGGUCAAACUGUAUGUGCCCACAACACAAGAAUUCUUUCUCAAGAGGACCAACAUUUAAGGCCAAUUAUUAAUCAGUGCAGGAUGGGACUGCUUAAGUGUCAACAUUUUAUAGCCUUUUUGUUCCCAAUUAAGAGAUAAUUCCUUAAGGCAGUUAUUUCUCACUAGUUCUGCUACAAUUUGAUGCUCUCUUAACAUGCUGAAAGAUAACCAAUAACUAGCAGAGCUAAGGAACCUAGAGAAAUCAGAUGUGGGAUGCCAGAUAGUUUGCACAUGCUUCCCUGAAUUAAGGCUAUUUUUAAAAUACUGUAUUAAAAUCAUCAAAAGGAGAAGAAAGAUGAAUCAUGGUUUCAUCAGACAGAGGAAAACCCUCUGUACUUAAAGCCUGAGAUCACUGGAACAAGAUGACCUCCUAGUUAUAGGAAUAGCUUGUCUGAGAAUACAAGCAUUAGCAAAGCAGCAUUAUGGCAACGGCAAGCCUUCUUACAAGAGGGGCCCUCAGUGCUCCUGCCAUCCUUUAUAGAUUUAUUCUGUAAUGUACUUCCCAAUGAAAACAAGUUUUUGCACAUAUGGGGGUAGAAACCCUGCAAACUGGAAGCUUAUCCAGAAUGUUCAGUCCUCAACAGCAUCCAGCUUCUUUACCACCGACAAGACCACCACAAGCCACUCUUCAAUGCUAAGAGACUCACUUCCACCUACACAUUAACAGCUCUUUGCACUCCCAGGAUGGGAUUACAAGCACACUCGUAUGCACAGCAUUAUGAGCUGGCACAAUGCCUGUCAUCGAUGCUGGAGGCAGCAGUAUGCCAUAGAUGCUCAGGUGACUGCUCCAAGACACCCAGCUGGUCUUACAUAAAGCGAUACAAGAAGCAGUUUUGUCAAAACGUAACUAAGUGCAUGACUCCACAGCAUGAGGAAAGACAGGCAUUAAAGGAAUUAAGUUCAAGAAAGAAUUCCAGGACUGCCUGAUAAUUUCUGGUUUCACUCCUACAGCUGUCACAGCUGCCAUUAAAAUGAAAAACCAGUUUUUCAGGAACAGUAACUGGAAGCAAGGAUAGGAAAAGUCAUCUUAGAGCAACACCACUUCCAACGCUCCCUGGAAAUCACUGAGAAACUGUGCCACCUUCAAGCACUAGAGCUUCGUCUGCUGCUCUCAGGAUGUUUUAGGGUUAGCUGAUGUAGAAGUUGUAUUAUCUUAUGAAAAGAACCAAACAGCUUCCUAGGGGAAAGCUGCAGGUAGCCGCUACCUGGUCACUGGCCUGGCCUCAGCAGACCGGCAUCCACAGCUGUGACCCUGCCACCCAUCAGCAAGAGAACCCACUGUCACUCUGCAGCAUUAGAAGUCUUCACUGACAGCAAUAUUCAGGAAACAGGAGUUGUUUCAAACUCCUACAAGCUAAAUUUACAGCCAUCUUAUCGUCACAGCUUAGAAUUUUGCUGUCUAGGUCAGGAGUUCAUCAAUAAAAUAUUGCAAGGCCCAUUUUUCUUUCUGUUGAGCCCCAAAUCCUUCAUUUGCUGUGAAGAUGAUCAAGAUGCAAGCUGCUGUCAUCUCUGCUCCUCACAGUCGGGAGUUUUGGGACGCAAAUCACCACUUUGGCCAACAGCUUGAGAAAGAUCCACAAAUAUUCUCUGCGUGAGCUUCCAGCAUGCUCUGACAACCCCACAGUGAAAGCAGCGAGGUUCUGUUUUAUAGUAACAGCCCAGCUACAAAAGCCUUGCUGACAACUGUACUGCGAGGCCAGAAAACCCCAGAACCACUGAGCGGGUCUUCUAAAGCCAGCUGCUGGGAACAGAAAAUAAAUACAUGGAAUUGGAUGGACAUGCAUCAGAACAGCAGCGGCUGAAAGGCAAGAGACUCAGGGAAGACUCUGUGCUCCCAGAGUCGUCUCACAGGAAGAGUGAGAGCUUGAUGUAUUCUGGAGAGAUUUAAUUAAGGAUUCUUACCAACACCCACACCAGUUUCUCAAAUUCCUUUAACCCACCAGCACUGAAUCAACAGGCAAAACGCUAAUGAAAUGGAACUAGAGUACUUCCCUGUGCUGGGAUGGUAACAGAACAAGAAGCCUAGAAAACAAAGCAAAGGAGAACAGAUGAGAGCCAGCUGCAGGCAGAGCUGUCCCUGCACGCACCCAGGGCACACAGAACACGAGGUACCAGGAGGCUGCUCCAGGCUGGGGCCUACUGGGCCAGCCCCACACAUCACACCUGUAAGAGGCUCAGAAAAUGGUUUUAAAAUGCUUGUUGUAUACUUAUAUGCCUGAAAAGGUACCUAAGCACCCCACACGGCACGUAACAGAUUCCUGUCUGUACACACAGAGAGGCAGUGCAGUCAUGCCACGGAUCUGGUUCUGGGGCCCUGCUUCCUUCAGAUGAAUCCCAACGAGCAGGAGCAGCAGGAUGGGAGGGAAGAGCCUCUUGUCUCUUUGCCUAACGACACACAGGAGAAAUACUGUGCUCUCCAAACACUUGCUUAGGACGUUCAGGUUCCACACCCCACUCUCGAGGCAUGCAGGAAGCCACAAGCCCAGCCCCUGCCCAACGGUAUUGCUGGCCCCGCUGCUCAGCCUCACAGCUCCAUCUCAGCAUGUCGGCUGAGGAGCAGCACCACUUCCUGAAGACACACGGAGACGCCUGAAGAGACCCACUCACUGCCACCCCAAAGCAAAGCCACCUUCUUCAUCCCCACCUUAUUUCCACCAAUCAAAUGGGCAGCUAGGUAGAAUCAUUAAAGUUCUAAAAAAACCCUCUAGGAUCAGCCCCCAAGUCCAACCACAGCCCAACCUGCCAUGCCCCUCAGUGCCACAUGCACCCUUCUCUUGUGGAGUCACCAUCCCUGGAGGUUUCCAAGGAUAGUGAAGAAGAUUUUCACCUUGUCGUGUGUCAUGUGGUGAGUCACCAAACCAAACCCUGAACUUUCUGCAAACAAUGCCAACACACGAGCCAUUGUCCGUGGAGUUAUUAGCGUGCUGUAAUUUGAUCUCUUUAAUGCAUACCUGCUCCAUACAGCAGACUUUGCAUUACAUGCAGGAAUUCAUGUGAGUCAUGGCACAGAGCAGUUGGGAACUCUGCACAGAGCAGCAAACUCAACUGGUUCUGGCUGACCACUGAGCAGGAUGGAACAGGCAGCAGAAAAGGGCUAGGGAGCAAACUCACACUGAACAACACUUCAAAUCCUGUGCAUGCAAUCCAAAAGCAUCACCUAGAAGCAAGAUCUGUACCCUCCCACUCGCACAAGGCCGGAGGUGAAGAUGCUCUAUACUCCAGUGCCAACAGGAGCAGAGGUGACAGCCCACUGAGAUGCAGGCUCUGCGCACCAAGGAACACGGCAGUAAUGCAACACCGCAGGCCUGGUUCAUAAAAUAGUACAGCUGUUAUAAUAUUAACUAAUCUCAAGAGCUCACACACCUACUUCAGGGCACUUUACAAUCAUAUUUCCACCUGAGUCUGUUUUGUUCCUGCCCCAGUAGUCCUCCCCAGAACCGCUUCCUACACUCACCCACAAGAUGGGUUAAUAUGGAAAUUGAUGCUAAAAACAAAGAAUAAAACCACCACCCAACAAACAGUCAUUAUUUGACUAACUCAUUUCAUAUUAAAUACUCUGUACAAGGGCAUUUUGUUAAGACAGAGCCGAAAUUUAAGGAGCAGCUAUUCAUUAAUGCCAUAAUGACACUUCAGAAAAGCCUGGGAUGUCCUCAGUCCUAAAACAGUACCCUGAAAUUUAUUUGCCUGGAGUCUCAAUCUGACUGCACUCAACAGGCCUUAGCUGUUAAGAAAGCUGGAAAAAAAAAUACUUAUUUCCUCAAACCACCAGCAAAGCUCCCUCACAGGUACUGCAGACAGACAACAGCUGCAGAGCAUGCACGCCAGACGCUCUGCUCUGUGAACACAGCACUUUGUCCAAGACUCAGAGUAACGGUAUUUGCAUCCGAGACAUAAAUAAUCAUAAGACUAAAUAUGAGCAACACUGGAAGAACAACAAAAACAAGCUCAAAACCCGGCCAAAAACAAACAAAAAACCCUAAGAGGCAUUCAGCCUCUUACAGCUGAGUAUUUACACAUGCACGUUUGGUUAAAAGUUGGUAGAUGCUCCAGUGUUGCAAGUAGGCUGCUCCAAAGUAAUGCCUCCUAUUUAUUUCCAUGGAAAGUACAACAGAUACAAAGAGCACAACAACACUGUUUGAUACAGCAAGUGCUCCACUACAACACACUCUUUUUCAACACGGUCACCACCAUGAGCUGUGCAUUUCUGCCAGCAAUGAACAAGAGCUGCAUGCUGUGCUCACACAAACCUGCCCCAGCAAACCCCCACUGUCACCGCUGCUCCAACACACCGCACACGGCCUCGCUGUGCUGACAUCCAGAAGUGUACUGAAACCCAUGCCGGAUCGAUGAGUGCUUCUGGCCAGGCCAAGAAGCAGACAAGCCAACCACAUUCCCCAAGUGAGGAAAACAACUGAAAAAACACAGAAAAACACCGCUAAUUGUAAGCAAGACUUCGCACUCCAUGAAGGAAUGAAUCAAUCCUGUGCUCAGCCACAACAGAUUAGCAAUGCCACGAUAAUUUCAUUAUCCAGAAGAGAUCUGCUGCCGCCAGCCCCAGGAAGGGGACACUAUGCACCACCUGCACCAGCCAGCAAAACCUGCAUCAACUGGACUCUACUGGGACUGUUAGAACCAGAGAUGGAGAAGCGUCCACCAAAGAGCAUCAUUAUACCCCAGCCAAAGACACCGAGAGCUGACAGCCACCAACGUGGCUUAUUUUUUCACAUGGCUGCGUGUAAAGUAUUCAUAAUCAUAUUACAAAGCUUAUAUUCUUGUAACUGCAAACAAUAACUGCUGUCAUGAGUACAGAAGCUCAAUCUGCAUGCGGCACGGAACUACCCAACCAGGAAUUUAUUAGCAGUAAAGUGCAAACACCUACAGAUACAUCUGCGAUCUCCUUCUCGACCCAGUGAUAACCAGUGCAGCAAUUUGAGAGGCCUCUCCCAACUCCUCCACAGUCGCAUGCAGAUUGGCCCAGGGCCCUGCAAGGCGAGGUGCUGAGGAUGCACAGCACUGGGCAGUGCAUUGAAGGACUGCCUGGGAGCCCCUUACAGAGGCACCAAAACACAGAAAAACUGGAUAUUUUACACUGUGUAACCACUGCUCUUCAGCUGGAGCUCCAGAACUGCUGCCCACUGACAAAGGUUUAGAAAGCACGGCCAUAAAAGUCUAUCAGAGAACUUAUCACUAACAAAAAACCAAGAGGGAAAAGCUAAGACAGAGGUUGAGUGGUAGGAAAUCACAGCAGGAGUCAGGUUUCCAUCAUCACUCUCUUCCAGUUUUGGAAGAGCCAACAUACAAACAAGUAAGGAAUUUUUAUGAAACACAAAGCAGCACAUGCAACUUCAUUCGAUACGAAUCUCUUUUUGAUGUUAAGAUAACUGCAAGAAUCUAGAUUUUGUAGCGAGUAUACAGUUCUGAUGACAUCAAACAACUGCUCAAGAACAACACUGUCAUCACCGUAUACUGCUACACAUGCAGUGCGAGCUGCAGAAACCAUAAAUUUGAGCAAAGCCCAACCCUCUGCUUCACCUAUGGAGUUUACAGAAAAUUAUUAAAAAGGAUGAAAAAAAACACUUCAAAAUAGGAGUUAUUUCUGGAAACAAGAAGCAGAUGUUCUCCUGUUUGGCUCAGCUGUGCUACAGUACAAGAGUGCCUUUGUUACGCUGUCAGCAAUAAUGUAUUUUAUUUAUUACAGCCAUUUUAUAAUGCCCAUCAAUGUACUAUUUGUGCACAAUUUAGAUUCAUGCAGAUCUAUUUCUCUGUGUAUGAGCUGUCAAGAAGCAUCACACGCACACUCCAAAUAGCAGACUCUACUAUGACACAAUUGUAUAAAUUAGGUUUUUUAUCCCCUUUCCAGUGUAUUAAUAAAGAGGGAACAGGAAGGGGAGGAGGAGUCAGUAUUGCCAAAUCAAGUUGAAUUAGCAUUAAUCACGAAUACCGAGACAAGACAUAGUGUAAAGUUAGGAAAAUACAAGAGCUUACAGUAUAAAAAAAAUAAACUCUGGCUCUUUGAAGCCCAAUAAAAGCAAAGUUUUUUCACCAUGCAAAGGAAACGUUGUCUAGAACAAAGCCACGAAGAACUGAGAGAUGCCUGCAUUGGGAAAGGGGUCCACUGGGGAUGGAGGAUAGCAUGCUCAUAGGAGUUAAAGGGGAAAAAGAAGGAAGAAAAAGAAGCAUAACUGUGUGUUAUUUUACCCUAUCAGCCACUGAGACUCUAUCUGCUGUAGGUAUUAAACCACUCCCCAACCAACCAACAUCACAGCCUUUGUAUGGAUCAGAUAAGGAAUUCUGGGCCUCCAAAAAAAAAAAAAAAUGAAGCCUUUAAUGAGAGCACACACGGUGCCAUGAACAUUUGCCCUUCCCUCCCAGCGCUUUGAACAAGCCAUUUCCUCCAAUUAAAAUACUCCCAAAUUGCUCAUUUAAUAUCCCCACCUGCGACACGAGGCACAAGAGUGGGGAUGUGCAAGACAACACUACAGCCCUGCAUGGAAACACAGAAAUCCCCUCAUUUCCCAAAUUCGAGUAGUUCCAAGGGGAAACAAAAAAUGCUACAGAGAGUAACAAAACAGCCCUCAAACCGUAUCCCUGAGCGUUUGCUAUAAUAGCAGGAUUUCAACAGAAUGAUCCCUUCCCAAGAAAUCAGCAAUUCUAACACACCAAGUAUCUGAGCAACGGCAACCAAAGAAAAAAAAAAAUCAAGUGUGUACAUGUCUAAUAUGCAUAAGUUAUGCACUUUCCCAAUUAGCAAACACUGGAAUGCUACCACAAUGCAGAAAACUUGCCCUAACAGACAUUUUUCUAAACAAAAAUAUUUGCUGCAUCGAUAAUUAAAAAUUUUAAUUGAGCACGCCAUCAAGAUAUUCUCCAAAAUGAGUUGUAAAAAGGUUUUAAUAUCUCCUCGCUUAGUUCCUUAGGACUCGCAAAGGAAAACAUUUUGUCAGGGUAAAGUCCUAAAAGUCAUACAGAGAAUCAUGGCACCCUUAUGCGAGCACUGACGUGGUG